rnacentral:lncRNA from 1 species
CAAGGGAUCGAAAUACAUUAUAAUAUCAACCUAAGAGAAUGUAAGCAUUUGACAUAUUAAGAGCAAUAAAACAGAAUAAAAAUGUUUGAUUACAACCACCCUCUCUUGUCAAUGAUUCAUUAUUUUAUACAGUAUACUUACUAUGCAAAUCAAGUGAAAUGCAGACGUAUAUUAUCAACCACACAAUUAGUUCAUUCCACUAGGAACCAGGAUAAGAUAACGUCAAGCCUAGAACUUAACAAACGCACUUCUUCUCUUAACGCCAAAACACAAAUGCAUUUAAACACUAUAGACCCAUUAUCAAUACCAAACACAUCUACUAACUCCAACAAGCAUAGACCACAGAAUGUCACAACCAUCGGGAAUUCACUCAUACCCAUAGAAGCAAGCAAGUCCAUAAUUUCCCUAUCAAAGAGUCGAUUAAACUGAUUCUAACUACAAUAUGACAUGCUUCUCUAAUUCAACGACCAAAAAAUCAGAUCUUACUUUAAUCAAAUGCAAAUAAAAGAAAAUAAUUAGACUUGACAUUACAGUAAGAACUCCAUUCGAUAUCAAAAUACACAAAUCAGAAACCGAAAAUAAUUAAGAAUCGAGUUUAUUAUUUGACCUCGCGGGGAGCAAAUUUCCGGCGCUUACAGGAAACUUCGAGAAAAUCCUGAUGUCUGUCGCGGACCGGAUCAGAAAUUGCGCCAACGGAAACCUCAACUGACGGCCUAGCAAACUCGCAGCUGAUUAUUAGCCAAGCAGCUUGAAUUGCAGGUCUUCACGAUAACAACAAAAGUCGUUGAAGAAUUGCGUUUUUGGCCAUAUUCAAAAGUGGUCGUCGUUCAGCUUGCCGGAGAUGGCAACAACCGCUGCUGGAGUUGAAGAUGGAUGGUCGAUUUUCUAGCUAGUUUAUAGGAGAUGAACGGAUCUGACUUCCCCUGUGUGUGUCCGUUUUUUCUCUUCUCUGUAUAUCCGAAUAUGUGUAUAUCUGUAUAGGCGUAUAUGUGUCAUAAGCUGCCCAGCCCUUCCCCAAAUUCCAGGCGUCCCCUCCUGUUCUGUAUAUUCUCGUGUGGUUUAUGUGUAUUAUGUCUUUUAGGUUAGGAAACGGAUUUGGAUAUUGGGUCGGGUUGGGUCGAUUCAGUUUGGGUUGGGUAUGGGUUAUGGUUGGGUUUAAAAGAAAAUUGUAUUGGGCUUGAAUUUAAAUAAGAUUUGACCCAAAAAUA